UCUUCUGUAGCUCAGUGGUAGAGCGUCCGACAGAUGAGCGGAAGGUCAUAGGUUCAACUCCUGUUGGGAGAU